rnacentral:rRNA from 1 species
AAUCAACGCUGGCGGCGUGCCUAACACAUGCAAGUCGAGCGCGAAAGGGGGCAACCCCGAGUAGAGCGGCGAACGGGUGAGUAACGCGUGGGUGAUUUGCCUCCGAGUGGGGAACAACACCGGGAAACUGGUGCUAAUACCGCAUGACAUCUUCGGGUCGUACCGGAGAUCAAAGCUGGGGACCGCAAGGCCUAGCGCUUGGAGAGAAGCCCGCGUCCGAUUAGCUAGUUGGUGGGGUAAGGCCUACCAAGGCGACGAUCGGUAGCCGGCCUGAGAGGGCGGACGGCCACACUGGGACUGAGACACGGCCCAGACUCCUACGGGAGGCAGCAGUGGGGAAUUUUCGCAAUGGGGGAAACCCUGACGAAGCAACGCCGCGUGGA